CCUACGGGUGCAGCAGUGGGGAAUAUUGGACAAUGGGCGAAAGCCUGAUCCAGCCAUGCCGCGUGUGUGAAGAAGGCCUUCGGGUUGUAAAGCACUUUCAGUGGGGAAGAAAGCCUUGGGGCUAAUACCCUCGAGGAAGGACAUCACCCACAGAAGAAGCACCGGCUAACUCCGUGCCAGCAGCCGCGGUAAUACGGAGGGUGCGAGCGUUAAUCGGAAUUACUGGGCGUAAAGCGCGCGUAGGCGGUCUGAUAAGCCGGUUGUGAAAGCCCCGGGCUCAACCUGGGAACGGCAUCCGGAACUGUCAGGCUAGAGUGCAGGAGAGGAAGGUAGAAUUCCCGGUGUAGCGGUGAAAUGCGUAGAGAUCGGGAGGAAUACCAGUGGCGAAGGCGGCCUUCUGGACUGACACUGACGCUGAGGUGCGAAAGCGUGGGUAGCAAACAGGAUUAGAUACCCCUGUAGUC
rnacentral:rRNA from 1 species